rnacentral:rRNA from 1 species
UACCAGCACCCCGAGUGGUCGGGACGAUUAUUGGGCCUAAAGCGUCCGUAGCCGGUCCUACAAGUCUUCCGUUAAAUCCACCUGCUUAACAGAUGGGCUGCGGAAGAUACUAUAGGGCUAGGAGGCGGGAGAGGCAAGCGGUACUCAGUGGGUAGGGGUAAAAUCCUCUGAUCCAUUGAAGACCACCAGUGGCGAAGGCGGCUUGCUAGAACGCGCUCGACGGUGAGGGAUGAAAGCUGGGGGAGCAAACCGG